AUGAUUUAUGUUUUUAGUUUCUUUUCGAUCCGUUGUUGUUUGUCUCGGAGUGCUCAGCACCAUCCAGAGGGGAAGGAAACUCCACGUCCUGGUCAGCCCAAAUCUAUGAUCUCCAUCUCAUUUAUCCCGGGUGUAACCAAGCUGUCCUGGGCCAGGGCUGGCCUCGGCUCGGCCAGGGCCGGCCUGAGCAAUGGCCGGCUCCACGCUCCAGUGGGCCCAGGCAGGGUUCAAACAUCUGCUGGGACCUCCCGUCUGACGGGCAUCUGAUCAGCCACGGGGAGGUAGACUGAUGAGACACACAUGGAGGAACCCUUAAUUAUGUUAUUCUCCUGUCUGGUUUUCAGCCUGAUGCUCAUUUAGAGGAAAGUGGGCUGAGACCUGGCAGAGUGUGUGUGCAUUCGUGAUAAAGAGAAGGGGGCGAGUCAGGUCACAGGAGGCUUGGGUGGCAGAGCAGAGAGAAGAGAUGGUUAGAAGAAAGUCAGAAAGUUAGUCCAUUGAAGUGGAUCAGCCACUUUCCUCUUGUGGUUUGGUUUACACGGCAACAUCUCUUUCAUUAUACAAAUGUUGACUUCUUUAGUUGGUAAUUGAAAAUACUGUAAUCAAGCAACUGGAUUGUCUCAUGCACAAAAUCAAUUGCCUUUUCUUUUGAAUUAUCCAAGUUAUUGAUUUACCAAGUAUGCCUUAAUAUAAUGACAUGCUCCUCGAGAUUGGCAUGAAUCCCUUUCACCGAAGCCAGUGAUUCAAUUUGAAUGCAUUAGUCCUCCAUUCAACUCAGUCUUAUGUAUUUGCUUUUCAACCCAAGAGCCUGUGAAUGAGAUGGUAGAAUGUAUUCAUUAUGCGACAGCGUAAUUCUGUUUUCCACCCAUUUGCUCUGUUUGUCUAUCUAAAUAUCUGACUGUAAAGACACUACAGCGUGAUGAAUGGAGAGGCGGUUCGCCAACCCUCUCCGAAAAGCUGUUUCGCCUGAAAGCCAUUCAUCACACACUGAUACAAAGCAGAAGAACAGAGCUUGUUAAAAUGGUUCAUGGCACUGUAACUGUCUGAGAAGUGACCAACAAUUCUUUUUAGUAGCGGAUUCCUUGUCUGUCGUUUAUAGGUCAGACCAGCGGCGGCCGUGUUCACCUGGAAAUGAGCUGACAUGUCUCCCUGCAAAACUAAACUUAUUAAAGUACUCCAUUCUCUCGUUUCUUCUGUUUCAGACUGCAAGCUUGGAGAUUCACACACAUGAAACAGCAUACACACAGCACUUCAUGUUCUCACACACACACACACACACACACACACACACACACACACACACACACACACACACACACACACACACACACACACACACACACACACACACACACACACACACACACACAGUGGACAACCCGGAAGGAUUGCUAUCGGCAGCCAACAAAGAGGAAGACUGCGUGAAAUGGGACCUUUCCAGUAUAACAGUCACAACUUCCCUCUAUGGUACACACUGGUGGAGCUGAAUAUGACUGCACAUGUUAUAGUUUGUUUAUUUGUAUGUGUGAGAGAGACUGUGUGUGUGUAGCAGGCACAUUAGUGUGUGCACAGGUACAUUGUUUUAAGUGUGUGAACGUUUCCUCUUUUUUGUUGUUUGUUUCUGUAUAGCGACCACUUGUAAAUUGUGACAUGUGUCAAGGGUUUGUAAGCUGUAACUUUCUGAAAACUAUUGUACUAAAAUGCACUCAAUAAAGGCCUUGGGAAACAAGUUACUCACUCAAUGGUCUGCGACUCACUGGGUGAUCAUUCUGUUUUCAGAAAUGGUGAGUCGAAAAACAGCAGGAAGGAAGGGGGUUUUAUCCAGUAACACUGCUGUCAGCACUGUGCAUGAAUUUGACACCCAAUGAUUGGUUUCAUAGUGGCUGAGGAAAUAAACAGCUUUGUGUCACUGCCGGUCUGGCUGGCGGCACGUGUUCCAACCCAUCAGCCACUAAUAAAUGAGCCGUCACUCGGAUUACACGCAAAUGCAAAAAAAAAUGAAAAAUACUCUCCAGGAGAAGUGACAAUAUUUUGACAAACUAGAGGAAAUUAUACUUCCAUCAAAACUCUUAUCUGGGUCUCCAAUACACAUUCAGUGCAAAUGCACAGGCAGUCACAGUUGUCUCGUAAAUUAUGUUUGCCCAGGACUUUUCGAGCACUUCAAACACUGGGAAGUGUGCUGCACAGUAAUGAUAUGGUUAAUGAGGUGAGUCAAAAGAUAUGGGGAUGUAUCCAACUCACAGCGCUCCUCCAUAACUGUUUAUUAGUUCUAAUUGAUUGAUAAUAUCCAGCUUCAUAUUAGCCGAGAGACUGCUCUGCGGGGACUGUGCCGAAC
ensembl:lncRNA